rnacentral:rRNA from 1 species
UGCAAGUCGAGCGAGGAGAUUCCUUCGGGAUGAUCCUAGCGGCGGACGGGUGAGGUAACACGUGGGCAACCUGCCUCAUAGAGAGGAAUAGCCUUCCGAAAGGGAGAUUAAUACCUCAUAACAUUGCAGUUUCGCAUGGAACAGCAAUUAAAGGAGUAAUCCGCUAUGAGGAUGGGCCCCGCGGCGCAUUAGCUAGUUGGGUGAGGUAACGGCUCACCAAGGCGACGAUGCGUAGCCGACCUGAGAGGGUGAUCGGCCACAUUGGGACUGAGACACGGCCCAGACUCCUACGGGAGGCAGCAGUGGGGAAUAUUGCACAAUGGGGGAAACCCUGAUGCCAGCAACGCCGCGUGAGUGAUGACGGCCUUCGGGUUGUAAAGCUCUGUCUUCAGGGACGAUAAUGACGGUACCUGAGGAGGAAGCCACGGCUAACUACGUGCCAGCCGCCGC